AUAUGGUCAAGUGAAGAAGCGCAUACGGUGGAUGCCUUGGCAGUCAGAGGCGAUGAAAGACGUGGUAGCCUGCGAAAAGCUUCGGGGAGUCGGCAAACAGACUUUGAUCCGGAGAUGUCUGAAUGGGGGAACCCAGCCAUCAUAAGAUGGUUAUCUUGUACUGAAUACAUAGGUGCAAGAGGCGAACCAGGGGAACUGAAACAUCUAAGUACCCUGAGGAAAAGAAAUCAACCGAGAUUCCCUUAGUAGUGGCGAGCGAACGGGGACUAGCCCUUAAGUGGCUUUGAGAUUAGCGGAACGCUCUGGAAAGUGCGGCCAUAGUGGGUGAUAGCCCUGUACGCGAAAAUCUCUUAGUCAUGAAAUCGAGUAGGACGGAGCACGAGAAACUUUGUCUGAAUAUGGGGGGACCAUCCUCCAAGGCUAAAUACUACUGACUGACCGAUAGUGAACUAGUACCGUGAGGGAAAGGCGAAAAGAACCCCGGAGAGGGGAGUGAAAUAGAUCCUGAAACCGUAUGCGUACAAGCAGUGGGAGCCUACUUUGUUAGGUGACUGCGUACCUUUUGUAUAAUGGGUCAGCGACUUAUUUUCAGUGGCGAGCUUAACCGAAUAGGGGAGGCGUAGCGAAAGCGAGUCUUAAUAGGGCGUCUAGUCGCUGGGAAUAGACCCGAAACCGGGCGAUCUAUCCAUGGGCAGGUUGAAGGUUAGGUAACACUGACUGGAGGACCGAACCGACUACCGUUGAAAAGUUAGCGGAUGACCUGUGGAUCGGAGUGAAAGGCUAAUCAAGCUCGGAGAUAGCUGGUUCUCCUCGAAAGCUAUUUAGGUAGCGCCUCAUGUAUCACUGUAGGGGGUAGAGCACUGUUUCGGCUAGGGGGUCAUCCCGACUUACCAAACCGAUGCAAACUCCGAAUACCUACAAGUGCCGAGCAUGGGAGACACACGGCGGGUGCUAACGUCCGUCGUGAAAAGGGAAACAACCCAGACCGUCAGCUAAGGUCCCAAAGUUAUGGUUAAGUGGGAAACGAUGUGGGAAGGCUUAGACAGCUAGGAGGUUGGCUUAGAAGCAGCCACCCUUUAAAGAAAGCGUAAUAGCUCACUAGUCGAGUCGGCCUGCGCGGAAGAUGUAACGGGGCUCAAACCAUACACCGAAGCUACGGGUAUCACUUAGGUGAUGCGGUAGAGGAGCGUUCUGUAAGCCUGUGAAGGUGAGUUGAGAAGCUUGCUGGAGGUAUCAGAAGUGCGAAUGCUGACAUGAGUAACGACAAUGGGUGUGAAAAACACCCACGCCGAAAGACCAAGGUUUCCUGCGCAACGUUAAUCGACGCAGGGUUAGUCGGUCCCUAAGGCGAGGCUGAAAAGCGUAGUCGAUGGAAAACAGGUUAAUAUUCCUGUACUUCUGGUUAUUGCGAUGGAGGGACGGAGAAGGCUAGGCCAGCUUGGCGUUGGUUGUCCAAGUUUAAGGUGGUAGGCUGGAAUCUUAGGUAAAUCCGGGAUUCUAAGGCCGAGAGCUGAUGACGAGUGUUCCUUUGGAACACGAAGUGGUUGAUGCCAUGCUUCCAAGAAAAGCUUCUAAGCUUCAGGUAACCAGGAACCGUACCCCAAACCGACACAGGUGGUUGGGUAGAGAAUACCAAGGCGCUUGAGAGAACUCGGGUGAAGGAACUAGGCAAAAUGGCACCGUAACUUCGGGAGAAGGUGCGCCGGUGAGGGUGAAGCACUUGCUGCGUAAGCCCACGCCGGUCGAAGAUACCAGGCCGCUGCGACUGUUUAUUAAAAACACAGCACUCUGCAAACACGAAAGUGGACGUAUAGGGUGUGACGCCUGCCCGGUGCCGGAAGGUUAAUUGAUGGGGUUAGCUAACGCGAAGCUCUUGAUCGAAGCCCCGGUAAACGGCGGCCGUAACUAUAACGGUCCUAAGGUAGCGAAAUUCCUUGUCGGGUAAGUUCCGACCUGCACGAAUGGCGUAACGAUGGCGGCGCUGUCUCCACCCGAGACUCAGUGAAAUUGAAAUCGCUGUGAAGAUGCAGUGUAUCCGCGGCUAGACGGAAAGACCCCGUGAACCUUUACUAUAGCUUUGCACUGGACUUUGAAUUUGCUUGUGUAGGAUAGGUGGGAGGCUUUGAAGCGUGGACGCCAGUUCGCGUGGAGCCAUCCUUGAAAUACCACCCUGGCAACUUUGAGGUUCUAACUCAGGUCCGUUAUCCGGAUCGAGGACAGUGUAUGGUGGGUAGUUUGACUGGGGCGGUCUCCUCCUAAAGAGUAACGGAGGAGUACGAAGGUGCGCUCAGACCGGUCGGAAAUCGGUCGUAGAGUAUAAAGGCAAAAGCGCGCUUGACUGCGAGACAGACACGUCGAGCAGGUACGAAAGUAGGUCUUAGUGAUCCGGUGGUUCUGUAUGGAAGGGCCAUCGCUCAACGGAUAAAAGGUACUCCGGGGAUAACAGGCUGAUACCGCCCAAGAGUUCAUAUCGACGGCGGUGUUUGGCACCUCGAUGUCGGCUCAUCACAUCCUGGGGCUGAAGCCGGUCCCAAGGGUAUGGCUGUUCGCCAUUUAAAGUGGUACGCGAGCUGGGUUUAGAACGUCGUGAGACAGUUCGGUCCCUAUCUGCCGUGGACGUUUGAGAUUUGAGAGGGGCUGCUCCUAGUACGAGAGGACCGGAGUGGACGAACCUCUGGUGUUCCGGUUGUCACGCCAGUGGCAUUGCCGGGUAGCUAUGUUCGGAAAAGAUAACCGCUGAAAGCAUCUAAGCGGGAAACUUGCCUCAAGAUGAGAUCUCACUGGGACCUUGAGUCCCCUGAAGGGCCGUCGAAGACUACGACGUUGAUAGGUUGGGUGUGUAAGCGCUGUGAGGCGUUGAGCUAACCAAUACUAAUUGCCCGUGAGGCUUGACCAU
rnacentral:rRNA from 1 species